UACAGAGGGUGCAAGCGUUGUUCGGAAUUAUUGGGCGUGAAGCGCGUGUAGGCGGCUUUGCAAGUCGGGUGUGAAAGCCCUCAGCUCAACUGAGGAAGUGCGCCCGAAACUGCAGAGCUUGAGUGCCGGAGAGGGUGGCGGAAUUCCCCAAGUAGAGGUGAAAUUCGUAGAUAUGGGGAGGAACACCGGUGGCGAAGGCGGCCACCUGGACGGUAACUGACGCUGAGACGCGAAAGCGUGGGGAGCAAACAGG
rnacentral:rRNA from 1 species